GACGAACGCUGGCGGCGUGCUUAACACAUGCAAGUCGAACGAAGAGCGAUGGAAGCUUGCUUCUAUCAAUCUUAGUGGCGAACGGGUGAGUAACGCGUAAUCAACCUGCCCUUCAGAGGGGGACAACAGUUGGAAACGACUGCUAAUACCGCAUACGAUCUAAACUCGGCAUCGAGGAUAGAUGAAAGGUGGCCUCUACAUGUAAGCUAUCACUGAAGGAGGGGAUUGCGUCUGAUUAGCUAGUUGGAGGGGUAACGGCCCACCAAGGCGAUGAUCAGUAGCCGGUCUGAGAGGAUGAACGGCCACAUUGGGACUGAGACACGGCCCAGACUCCUACGGGAGGCAGCAGUGGGGAAUCUUCCGCAAUGGACGAAAGUCUGACGGAGCAACGCCGCGUGAGUGAUGACGGCCUUCGGGUUGUAAAGCUCUGUUAAUCGGGACGAAAGGCCUUCUUGCGAAUAGUGAGAAGGAUUGACGGUACCGGAAUAGAAAGCCACGGCUAACUACGU
rnacentral:rRNA from 1 species